AAACCCGAAACUUCAGACUAGAUGUUCAGCAGGUCAUGUUUUAUAUCCACUCUGCCCAUCCAUUGCACUAGCUAAUAUUAGGACAUGAACCAAAAGUUGUUUGCUAGAAGAUACCCUCCGUGAUUUUGAGAAAAUGGCAAACAAUGUGUUUUCUAGAAGAUACUCUAGUGCUGGAUGUCUUCUUGCAAGGUACUUGGAAGAGGAAUUUUGGCAUGAAAUAGCUUGUGGAAAAACAGAAACUCUUGACAACCCAUGGUGCCUUUACAUCUCAAGAUAGUGAACUUAUUGGCAAUUCCUGCUGGUAUUAAUUAAAAGAAAAUUCUUGAUGCCAUUGUUCAGAAGUCGCAAUGUGGAUGGAUGGCAUGAUCUCCACUGGAGUAACAAAGCAUUACAUAUAGUUGCUAGUAACCAAACCAAAUAAUAAGUUACCAAUUCAAUGUUGUUUUGCAGGUAGAAUUCAUGGCAAAAUGGAAUGCAGUGGUUAUAUGCCUAUAUGAAUGCAUAUCGUGCUGCCCUUCUUUCUCAAGUAGAUUGCAUUGAGGUUGAUGUCUCUCACUCUUUAGAUGGAGUUCUGUUUGCUCUCCAUGAUAGGUUUCCAGUGGGACUAGUUUCUAAGAUACAUAUGCCCUUCUAAACUUGUCAUGUGAUCAGGUAAUUACUUAUCUCUCUCUUCUCCUUAAUUUUCCAACGA